UGACGUCAGAUGAUCCACCCGUCUCAGCCUCCCAAAAUGCUGGGAUUACAGGCAUGAGCCACCACACCCAGCAAUAGUUUAGAUUUUCAUCUCAGAAUAUGUCAACCAUCUCCACAGUGCCCUGUCUACUUGCUCACAAGGAGAGGGGGAGGGUUGCGUGAUUUCAUUAAAAGGAGGAGGACCACGAAGCAUCCCCUUUACAUCUCUCUCCUGCCUUAGCUCCUCUAAGCCAUCCAGACCUGUCGACCGAAGGUGGAAGGACAGCAGGUGUCAACUCCCCAGAGCCGGAGAGGAAACGGAGAAGGGUGGGAGAAGAGGUGAAGAAGACGAUUAAAAUAAAGUUUUUACCUUAAAGAAGUGGGCGCUGUUCCAGGACUGAGAAGGAGAGUUCAGCUGUGGCAAUGCGAUGGGGGAGGUGGGUGCAGUGAGGGGGGCUGCCAGUGCCAAUUGCCUUCCAGCUGUCAACGCCUGAGCUUAUACAGGUUUACACAGCUUUAUGAGCGGCGGUCCUGGCUGGGUUGUGGCUGCUUCCGGACUCACGCCCAGUACUGGGGGCACCGAAGGAGGGCGAAGGCAGGCAGGGGCGCAGCCCAGGUGCUCCAGGUCGCUCAGAGCGUCUUCAGGAUUCCUGAGUCGCCGGGUCUAGGACACGCGCUCCAGGCCCUGACUACCAGCUGGUUUUCAAAGGAAGUUUGUGGUUUUUCUUUUCUUCUCUCUCUUUCUUUUUUUUCUCAUCGGGACGAAGAAAAAUUAGUCAAGGACAAGCUCCCUGGAGGAGGAGGGCCCUGCCCAGCACUGGUGGAUUUCCAUCAGGGCUUUCUGACCCGGUCAGCAGCUUGGUGAUCAGCAGAGAGGGAGAGAGAAACAGGAGAGAAAAACAACAGACCUUUUCUCUUCCCUCCGCCUGCCUCUGGAAGGGACGGAGCGCUUGUGCCUCUCUGUACCUGCGCUACCCCGCGGCUGGAAAGGAGCAGUUAAGGGGGGUUGGAACCUAACUCUGCAUUUUGAAGGGUUCCCUAGACUCUAUGUACAGGACUGCCUGCCACAGGAUGAAACUUCAAGCCUGAAACUCUGAAGGCUGAAAGAGCAGUUGGAACAAUUAGGGAGGUAGGGAGCAAAAAGCAAAGGUUACAGCCGACCAAGAAAGGAAGGAGAAGAUAUUUGACGAGACGGUAGAAAAAUAAA